AGAGUUUGAUCCUGGCUCAGGAUGAACGCUAGCGACAGGCUUAACACAUGCAAGUCGAGGGGCAGCGAGGGAGUGGCAACACUUCUGUCGGCGACCGGCGCACGGGUGAGUAACGCGUAUGCAACCUGCCCUUCACAGGGGGAUAACCGGGAGAAAUUCCGACUAAUACCGCAUACGUCCUUUGGGGGCAUCCCCGGAGGAUGAAAGAUUUAUCGGUGAAGGAUGGGCAUGCGUGAUAUUAGGUAGUUGGCGGGGCAACGGCCCACCAAGCCCACGAUAUCUAGGGGUUCUGAGAGGAAGGUCCCCCACAUUGGUACUGAGACACGGACCAAACUCCUACGGGAGGCAGCAGUGAGGAAUAUUGGUCAAUGGACGAGAGUCUGAACCAGCCAAGUCGCGUGAAGGAAGACGGAUCUAUGGUUUGUAAACUUCUUUAGUGCGGGAACAAAGCGGCGUCGUGACGCCGGAUGAGUGUACCGCAAGAAUAAGCAUCGGCUAACUCCGUGCCAGCAGCCGCGGUAAUACGGAGGAUGCGAGCGUUAUCCGGAUUUAUUGGGUUUAAAGGGAGCGCAGGCUGCGAGGCAAGUCAGCGGUCAAAUGUCGGGGCUCAACCCCGGCCUGCCGUUGAAACUGUCUUGCUAGAGUUCGAGUGAGGUAUGCGGAAUGCGUUGUGUAGCGGUGAAAUGCAUAGAUAUGACGCAGAACUCCGAUUGCGAAGGCAGCAUACCAACUCGCGACUGACGCUGAGGCUCGAAAGCGUGGGUAUCGAACAGGAUUAGAUACCCUGGUAGUCCACGCAGUAAACGAUGAAUACUAACUGUUCGGAGGGCGACCUCUGAGUGGUAAAGCGAAAGCGUUAAGUAUUCCACCUGGGGAGUACGCCGGCAACGGUGAAACUCAAAGGAAUUGACGGGGGCCCGCACAAGCGGAGGA
rnacentral:rRNA from 1 species